CUCCGGGUAGUCUAGUUGGUUUAUGGCGUCUGACUGUAAUUGGUACACAACAGCUCAAUCAGAAUGUCGCGUGUUCGAAUCACGCCCUGGAGA
rfam:Metarhizium acridum CQMa 102 unplaced genomic scaffold Scf_146, whole genome shotgun sequence.